UCUAAGCACAUGCCUUAAAACGGUGAAGCCGCGAAUAGCUCAUUACAACAGCCAUCGUUUAUUAGAAUAUCGUUAUCCUACUUGGAUAACUGUGGCAAUUCUAGAGCUAAUACAUGCAAUAAAGCUCCGCCCGAAAGGAACGAGCGCAUUUAUUAGAAUAAAAACCAAUCGGAUUUCGGUCCGUAAUUUGGUGAAUCUGAAUAACUUUGCCAAUCGCACAGUCCUAGUACUGGCGAUGUAUCUUUCAAGUGUCUGCCUUAUCAACUUUCGAUGGUAGGCUAUACGCCUACCAUGGUAGUAACGGGUAACGGAGAAUAAGGGUUCGACUCCGGAGAGGGAGCCUGAGAAACGGCUACCACAUCCAAGGAAGGCAGCAGGCGCGCAAAUUACCCACUUCCAGAACGGAGAGGUAGUGACGAAAAAUAACGAGACAGUCCUCUUCGAGGUCUGUCAUCGGAAUGGGUACAAUUUAAA
rnacentral:rRNA from 1 species